GGGAGUAUAGCUCAGUGGUAGAGUGCUUGCAUUGUAUGCAUGAUGCCCUGAGUUCCAGUCACACUCCCA
rnacentral:tRNA from 1 species